rnacentral:lncRNA from 1 species
GGUGAUGGGGCAGUGGGAACAGAAGUUAUUUUCUUACCAUUGAUAUUUAUAACUACAUAAAGUGGAUCUAAUAUAUAUCUACAACAUUUGACCAAUUUGCAAACAUGUGGGGUACUUUAUUAUUUAUUAUAUCUUAACGGUGUUUUUAAAGAAUGCAGGUUUUUAAUUUUAAUGAGGUAUCAUCCAUUCUACUUUUUCUUUAUGGAUAUUGUUUUUAAAGAAUAUCCUUAUCCAUUCUGAGAUCAUGAAUAUAUUCCCCUAUGCUCUUUUCUAAAGAUUAUUUUAUGUUACACGUUUCUGCCUACAAAUCCAUGUAGAAUUUAUUUUUGUAUCAUGUAAAUAAGAUCACAUUUUAAUUUAUAUUUUCCAUGAGGAUGUCUAAACAAUUCAACACCAUUUAUUGUAUAUAUGUUAUUUUCACAUUUCACUCAUAUGUCCUUCAUAUUUCAUUCAUAUUUAUUUCAAAUCAAAUAAUUAAAUCUGUAAGAAUCUCUGCAGUCUAUUCUGUUCUAUGUAUUUAUGUCUCUAACCUUCUACCAAAAACAUGCUGCUUUGACUAUUGUUUUAUAAUGAAUUUUUAUAGCCAAUGUAUAAGGUCUUCAACUUUAUUCUACUUAACAAUACCUUCACAAGUUUUAGUUCUUUACAUUUCAUAAAUGAUAAACUUAAUUGCUUCAAUUUUCACAGCAAAAAUAUACUAUCAGAAAUGUCUGCUCUGAUUUUUAUUGGGAUUGCAUUCAAUCGGUAAGUAAGUUUAGCAAGAACUGACUUGAUGCUACUGCAUGUCCUAGGUCAUGAAAAAAGCAUAGCCCUCCAUUUCUUUAGCUCAUCCUUAAUUGCUCUCAGGGAUUUACUACUUCUUUGGUUUGUAUAGUUCAAUGAAUAAGAUAAAAAUCAAAUGGCAUAACACAUAUUACAUAAUAGUAACAAGAGUAAACCUUUAUUAAGCCUUUACUAUGUUCCUGAUCCUAUAUAUUUGUUCACUUUCAGUAUACCUUGUUAUAGAAUCUGUGGGUAUACAUCACACACCUGGCUUCUGAUAAUAACCAGACCCAAACCCAGGCUUGCCUAAUGGGAAAGCUCAUGGUCUUAAAAAUCUAUCCCUUAUAGUUUCCAGUAGAUCCUCCAUCUGUACUUUUACAAUACAGACUAUAAUGGGAGGAUUUUGGGAUGUUAUCUUUCCUAAGUUCAUUGCUUAUUUUAUUUAUAAGAAUUGUAAGCUUUCUGAUAAAAAUCUGCUUGGAGAGAUAGUAUGAUGUGACAGAGUGCUGAUUUAAGUAUAAAGUGUUCUGACUCUGCCUUGCCCUGGUCUGCAGUGAGUGUCUGGGCAAGCAUUUGAACUUCAUUUUUCUCUCCUUAGGUUCUUCAUGUGAGGCAUGGGAACCAUAAUUCCUAAGUCACUUUCAUCAGCAACUAUUGAGAUUAUUAAGUUACAGGUUUAAGGUGAAAGUACUUUAAUAGUUCUUUAUAAAUAACAUUAUUGCUUUGAAAGCCUAUUUAUUUAAUAUGUGCGUUUCAAAUAUCUUGGCAUAUGUAAAAUAAUGAUUUUUUGCCCCAGAUUCAGUAACCUUUCAUCAAUUUAUUCUUAGUUCUGUAGAAGAAAAAAGAUACUAAAAUUUUCCUUUCAUUGUGUUUCCCAUUAGAGAGGAUGACCUUAUAAUUUAGUUUCUCUGGGACAGUACAACCUGCCUUAACUGUCACCUGAAAAAGGAUUAGAUAAUUAUAUGGGGAGUUCAUGUCAUGGCUCAAUGGUAAUGAAUCCAACUACUAUCCAUGAGGACACAGGUUUGAUCUGUGGCCUCACUCAGUGGGUUGAGGAUCUGUGGUUAACAAAUCCAACUAGGAACCAUGAGGUUGCGGGUUCGGUCCCUGCCCUUGCUCAGUGGGUUAACGAUCUGGCGUUGCUGUGAGCUGUGGUGUAGGUUGCAGACACGGCUCGGAUCCUGUGUUGCUGUGGCUCUGGCGUAGGCCGGUGGCUACAGCUCCGAUUGGAUCCCUAGCCUGGGAACCUCCAUAUGCUGCGAGAGCGGCCUGAGAAAUGGCAAAAAGACAAAAAAAAAAAAAAAAUAGAAUGGUUUGGGUAUUAUGGAUAUUUUAAUUAUAAUGAUUCUUCCAAUCCAUUAGCAUGGUAUAUAUUUCCAUUUAUUUGUGUUAUCUUCAAUUCCUUUCACCAUUGUAUCAUAGUUUUCAAAGUACAGGUCUUUCACCUCUUUGAUGGCAUUUAUUCCUUGACAUUUUAUUCUUUGGUCCUACUGUGAAUAAUAUUGGUUUAUUUAUGUCUCUAUUGUAUAGUUAAUGACAUAUAGAAAUACAACAGAUUUCUGUAUAUUAAUCUUGUAUCCUUAAAAUUUGCUGAAGUCAUUUAUCAGUUGUAAUAGUUUUUGCUGGAGUAUUUGGGAUUUUCUUCUGUAAAUAGUGACAGUUUUACUUCUUUCUUUCCUAAUUGGAUAACUUUUUCUUUCUUACAAAAUUUCUGUGGCUGGGACUUCCAAUACUAUGUGCUUAAAAUUGGUGAGAGUGAACAUACCUGUCUUCUUCCCAAUCUUAGAGGAACACUUUUAGGCUUUCACCUUUGAGUAUGAACUUAACUCUAGGUUUGUCAUAUUUGGUCUUUAUUAUGUCCCCUCUGUACUCACAUGGUGAGAGUUUUUAUUAGAAAUGGAUGUUGAACUCUGUCAAAUGCUUUUUCUACAUCUAAUGAGACCCUUAUAUGAUUUUUAUCCUCUGUUCUGUAAUGUGAUAUGUCAUCCCAGAGAAUGUUCUAUGUGCACUUGAAAAACAUGUGUAUUUGGCUUUUGGAUGGAACACUCACUGUAUAGCUACAAAGUCAAUCUGGUCUAAUGUGUCAUUUAAGACAAGUUUUCUUUAAUGAUUUUCUGCCUUGAUGAUCUAUUUAUUGAUGUAAGUGGGAUAUUAAAUUCCCCUACUAUUAAUGUAUUGCUGUCUAUGUCUCCCUUUAUUUCUGGCGAUACUUGCUUUAUGUAUUUAGAUGCUCCUAUGUUGGGUGCAUAAAUGUUGACAAAUGUUAUGUCCUUAUAUCCCUGAAAUGAAUCUGACAUGAUAGUGUUGUAUGACUUAAUGUAUGGUUAAAUUUGGUUUGCUAAUAUUUGAGGAUAUUUAUAUCUACAUUCAUCAGUGGUACUGGCAAUUAAUUUUUUCUUGUCUCUUUGUCUAGUUCUGGUAUCAGAGUAAUGCUGUCUUCAUCAAAUGAGUUUUUAUGUGUUGCUUUGUCUUUUUUUAAUAAUUUGAGAAGGAUAGGUAUCUUCUUUAAAUAUUGGGUAGAAACCAAUGAAGACUUCUGGACCUGGGCUUUUUUGUUGUUGUUAUUGUUGGGAGUUUUUUGAUUACUAAUUCAAUGUCAUUAGUAGUAAUCAGUCUAUUCAGAUUUUCUAUUUCUUUAUGACUCUGUCUUGGGGACUUUCUUAUAUUUCCUAAGCCUUUGUUGGAGUUCUCUGAGUUUCUUCAUUUUCCUGUUUUCAGUGAAGCAACUUGUGACUAUUUCUUUAACUCUUAUUAUCAGUUAAAUUACGUAUCUCUGUGUCAUUGGAAUUUUUCUGGGAUGUUAUUUUGUUCUUUGCUUUGGAACACAUUUCUCUGUCUCCUCAUUUCAUCUGGCUUUUAAUUUUUGUUUCUACAAACUAGACAAAAAAAGCUAUCUUUCCUGGUCUUCAAGGAGUGGCCUUGUGUGAAGUCAUCCUUCCCAUAUAGUCCAAGUGUCUUUUAAACAGUUGUUUUUUCACUAUGUUCCAGGGCAUAUGAGUCUGUCUCAAGGCCCUCAACAAUAUCCCUCCCUGCUGCAAGUCGCCAUAUUGGGGUGGUAUUCCUGUGUCCUGUGUCUCUCUCUUUCCUGUCCACUUCUAUCUGGUCUUUACAUGCGCAGUACCCAUUUAAUCAGCCUUCAGGUCUUUUUCAGACUCAGUGUGUUCAUGGGAGGAGAUGAGUUUAUGGUCUUCCAAUGCUGCUGUCUUAGAUCUCUCUCCUAUACUGGGUCCAGGCAGUUGUUUUCUUGAUGUAGAGAACAUGCAGUAAAGAAAUAAAGAUGUUAUACAAGUUACUUGUCUAUACUGACUUUUUGCCCAACCUGACUUGGAAGAAAUAUAUGCUUGGUUUACCUCAGUGUUCCAUGAAACUGAGUUCCGUUGGUAGACUUAGUAUUUCCAUCACUUUCUGUUCUAGUUGUGGUGUUAAAGGCCAAAUAGGUGUUGAAAGGAACUAGUUAAAACCCCAGGAAUGAACUAAAUUUCUACAGCUUCAUUCCAGAAUACAGGGACUCUUUGGAAACACAUUGACAUUUCAUAAAAGAAUGUUUUCUUAAUAUUUUCAUAACUAAAAAUACCCACUUAUGGGAUUGUCUCAUAAAGAGGUUAACAUUGCUCAAGGAACAUUUAAAUUUACUGUUUUACCAGCAUGAAAUUUUUACAUGAUAGUUCCUCAAAUAAUUGGAUUUAGACUUCAUUGUUGAUUGUAUCUUCUCUUGCUAUGUUUUUUGCUUUUCUUAAAUUUUUUCCCCUUGGCUUGUAUCCAUCCUACAUUUUAAGUGGGUUUUGUUUCUUUAUUUUUGUUUUUAUUUUCCAAGUCCAUGUGCUGAGUAACAAACAUAUGGCCUACUUGUCCUUCCUCCCUUUUGGUUCUGUUGAAGUGGUGCCUCACAAAACUGUAUUUUACUACUACUGAAGCAGAAUUUACUUUUAAAUUUUUUUUGUAAUCUCAUGAGCAUUUGGGAGAAAAAUUACAUUAAGUGUGUGAGCUAAAAUCACUAACUUCCAGUGGGAAUUUUAUUUCCUUAUUGUUCAGAAAUUUUCAAAAUUUUGAUUUAGGAUUAUAGUAUCUGAUCAUGAAGUUUCCUUACUUCGGUGAAUGAAAAUGGAAAAAGAGAAGUAUUUUCUCAUUGAGAGUUUAGAAGUUUCUCAUUUAAAGAUAAUUUAGGAUGAUGAUUCUAGGUGUAUAUACAUUUAGGGAGAAAUAGAUUGAUGUUGGUGCUUUUUAAUGAGGAAAAAAGAGAUCAUGCCUAUUGGAAGGGGAAUGUUAAUAUGGGUGAAUUGAGUUUUGUUAAAGGAAAAAGAAGAGAGGGAGAUGACAUAAAAUAACAGUACAUAUAAAGUAGAAUCAAUGACGGAGUGCAUUACUCAAGUGCUUGAGAGAAAUUUAACUCCAAGGGAAGACUCAACGUCCAAAUGGCAUUACCCAAAAUUUUUUAUUUGGAAAAUGACAUGAUGAUAAGUCCUGAAGUCUAUGCUGAUUCUUUAGGUAUUUUUACCUGUUUAUUUUCAGCUGUCUUAGUCACUGGAGGCAUAUGUGAAAGGAAAGAAAUCUCUUUCAGUGAUUCACUGAUAUCAAGAGAGAAACUCAAAAUGAA